CCAAUAGCGUAUAUUAAAGUUGUUGCAGUUAAAAAGCUCGUAGUUGAAUUUCGGGAUCAAGGGAUCGGUCAUGCCUUGGUAUGUACUGGUCUUAUUGGUUCUCACCUUCUAAAGAACCAUGAUGUCAUUCAUUUGAUGUUAUGGGGAAUUAGGACUGUUACCUUGAAAAAAUUAGAGUGUUUAAAGCAAGCUUACGCUUGAAUACAUUAGCAUGGAAUAAUGAAAUAGGACAUCAGAUUCUAUUUUGUUGGUUUCUAGGAUCGAUGUAAUGAUUAAUAGGGAUAGUGGGGGGCGUUAGUAUUCAAUUGUCAGGGGUGAAAUUCUUGGAUUUAUUGAAGACUAACUACUGCGAAAGCAUUUGCCAAGGAUGUUUUCAUUAAUCAAGAACGAAAGUUAGGGGAUCGAAGACGAUCAGAUACCGUCGUAGUCUUAACCAUAAACUAUGCCGACUAGGGAUCGGAUGAUGUUAAUUUUUUAAUGACUCAUUCGGCACCUUACG
rnacentral:rRNA from 1 species